rnacentral:rRNA from 1 species
GAUGAACGCUGGCGGCGUGCUUAACACAUGCAAGUCGAACGAAGCGCUUUACUUGAUCCCUUCGGGGUGAUUGUUUUGCGACUGAGUGGCGGACGGGUGAGUAACGCGUGGGUAACCUGCCUCAUACAGGGGGAUAACAGCUGGAAACGGCUGCUAAUACCGCAUAAGCGCACAGUACCGCAUGGUACGGUGUGAAAAACUCCGGUGGUAUGGGAUGGACCCGCGUCUGAUUAGCCAGUUGGCGGGGUAACGGCCCACCAAAGCGACGAUCAGUAGCCGACCUGAGAGGGUGACCGGCCACAUUGGGACUGAGACACGGCCCAAACUCCUACGGGAGGCAGCAGUGGGGGAAUAUUGCACAAUGGGGGAAACCCUGAUGCAGCGACGCCGCGUGAGCGAAGAAGUAUUUCGGUAUGUAAAGCUCUAUCAGCAGGGAAGAAAAAAAAUGACGGUACCUGACUAAGAAGCCCCGGCUAACUACGUG